rnacentral:lncRNA from 1 species
AUGCCCAAGAGGAAGGUCAGCUCUGACAAAGGGGCCGCCAAGGAAGAGCCCAAGAGGAGAUCGGAGCGGUUGUUAGCUAAACCUGCUCCUGAAAAAGUGGAAAAGAAGCUGAAAAGGGCAGCAGGGAAAGAUAUAUCUUCAGACAAAAAGGUGCAAACAAAAGGGAAAAGGGGAGCAAAGGGAAAACAGGCCUAAGUGGCUAACCAAGAAACUGAAGAUUUACCUGCAGAAAACGGGGAAACGAAAACUGAGGAGAGUCCAGCCUCUGAUAAAGCAGGAGAGAAAGAAGCCAAGUCUGAUUAA